AUCGCUUCUCGGCCUUUUGGCUAAGAUCAAGUGUAGAAGUCCUUUACUGUCUCAGUCUCUGAGCUUUUUUUUUUGCAUUAGUGGGGAUUGAACCCAUGGCUGGCUUUGACAUUGAAAUACACCCCCAGCCCCUUUUC
rnacentral:snRNA from 1 species